rnacentral:lncRNA from 1 species
CCAUUUUCAAUUUUGGUGAUAGACCCUCUUGCAGAAGCAAAUUCAAUUAUGUCAGAAGCACAUUCAGAAUCCAUUCUUGCCAACCCAAGUAGCCUUGUGAGCUCUUCAUAACCCGGAUGUUGGCUUAGCUUACUUUGAGGUCCAGCUCUCUUAUCAUGCUUCUCAGUAAAGCCAGACACAGUAGGAACUAUUCUGGAAGAAGGAUCCUGAAGAAAUUCCAUAGAAAAUACCUCACUAGUCUGUACAGGUAUAUGGUUAUCUACAUUAUUGUGUAAAGAUAUGCCAUCACUCAAGAUAAGUGGCUGCACUAGUCUGUACAGGUAUAUGGUUAUUUACAUUAUUGUGCAAAGAUAUGUCAUCACUCAAGAUAAGUGGCUGAGAUGAUUCUUGCUGGAUCCAUGGACCAGAAGGGCCAGCCACCCCGGCGGUCAUAGUUUCAGUUAAAUCUUUGGAUGAAUUUAGCAUCAGAAGUCACCUGAACAUGAAACAGGCAAGAAUGCUUUACACUCUCUACAGAAAACUAAUUAGAUUUCAUUAACUUCUUCGCUGAAGUAAACAGAAAUACCAACUACAAAUUUUUCACACCACCAACUACCACUUCAUAGAAAAAUAUAGCAAAAAAGACGUUACUACUCUCCCACUUACACACUGAAAUCCUUCUUCUUCCUCCUUUUCUCUCUUUUUUUUUUCUACUGAUAAAUGAAGUAUUUCACACUAAAUAUAACAAUCCCUCCACAAUAUAUGCACACAGAAAAUAGCAAUCCUUGCUGCACAGCAACCACUCCGCAUUAAAAUUGAAAAAAAAAAUUUAACAGUAAAACAAUCGGACGAAUUUGCCUUUUCCUUCAAUAACUCUCCUCUUGAUCAUCAAAUAAUCAAUCUGAAAAUUAUAUUUCCAGUAAUGAUUCAAUAGAAAAUCAAAAGUAAGAGAUAAAACAUAAACUAACAGACCAAUCAGAAAAGAUAAAAAAUCAAAAAAACUAUAAUCUAAUUAUGCGAUGCGAAAUUCGGAUAUAGAAACUGUUACUGGUCAGAUACCCGUGCAUAAAAGCUAUAAUUCAACAAUCGGAUUAUGAAAACCUAGAAAUCAAAAGAAAAAGGUAGAUACAUACUUGUAUAAUCACUUCACUCGUCUAGCUGAAGCCCAUAGCUCACUGAAACGCAUGAAUUUGAAAAGGUGGGGGAAAUGAAUUAAGGGUUUAAUCAAUUGAAUUUAACAGAUCAAAUGAGAAAAAUUAGGAAAGUGUGAGAGAGAGUGACUUACGC